AAGGAUAAUCGAAGUCAUGCACCUGCUCCUCUAUCUCACCAGUCACCGUUUCUAGAUCCAAUCGAAUCUAGCUUAUCUUCUGAUGAGGAGAAUCAAAUUGAUGCACAUGCACAGCUAUCUUACCAGUCACCGGUCGUAGAUCUAAUUGAAUCUAGCUCAUCUUCUGAUGAGGAGGAGAAUCAAAGUCAUGCACCGGCCUCUGAGAAUGCUGAAAGACAGAAGAUGAAGGAAUAUGGCUUUAAAGAACUAGCAGAGGCAACUGAUUAUUUCUCCAACAACUGCCUACUUGGUGAGGGUGGUUUUGGUCAAGUCUUCAAGGCAACCUUAGAUGGUGAAGAGGUUGCUAUCAAGAAACUUAAAAA
rnacentral:misc_RNA from 1 species